rnacentral:rRNA from 1 species
AUUGAACGCUGGCGGCAGGCCUAACACAUGCAAGUCGAGCGAGUGGCGGACGGGUGAGUAAUGUCUGGGAAACUGCCCGAUGGAGGGGGAUAACUACUGGAAACGGUAGCUAAUACCGCAUACUAUCGGAUGAACCCAGAUGGGAUUAGCUAGUAGGUGGGGUAAAGGCUCACCUAGGCGACGAUCCCUAGCUGGUCUGAGAGGAUGACCAGCCAAACUGGAACUGAGACACGGCCCAGACUCCUACGGGAGGCAGCAGUGGGGAAUAUUGCACAAUGGGCGCAAGCCUGAUGCAGCCAUGCCGCGUGUAUGAAGAAGGCCUUCGGGUUGUAAAGUACUUUCAGCGAGGAGGCGUUACUCGCAGAAGAAGCACCGGCUAACUCCGUGCCAGCAGCCGCGGUAAUAC